AUUGAACGCUGGCGGCAUGCCUUACACAUGCAAGUCGAACGGCAGCACGGGGGGUAACCCCUGGUGGCGAGUGGCGAACGGGUGAGUAAUAUAUCGGAACGUGUCCUGUAGCGGGGGAUAACCUAUCGAAAGAUGGACUAAUACCGCAUACGACCUACGGGUGAAAGCGGAGGACCGCAAGGCUUCGCACUAUAGGAGCGGCCGAUAUCGGAUUAGCUAGUUGGCGGGGUAACGGCCCACCAAGGCGACGAUCCGUAGCUGGUCUGAGAGGACGAUCAGCCACACUGGAACUGAGACACGGUCCAGACUCCUACGGGAGGCAGCAGUGGGGAAUUUUGGACAAAGGGCGCAAGCCUGAUCCAGCCAUGCCGCGUGAGUGAAGAAGGCCUUCGGGUUGUAAAGCUCUUUCGGCGGGGACGAAACGGUUCGUGCUAAUACCACGGACUACUGACGGUACCCGCAGAAGAAGCACCGGCUAACUACGUG
rnacentral:rRNA from 1 species